UACGAAGGGGGCUAGCGUUGUUCGGAAUCACUGGGCGUAAAGCGCACGCAGGCGGAUCGAUAAGUCGGGGGUGAAAGCCCGGGGCUCAACCACGGAAUUGCCUUCGAUACUGUCGGUCUCGAGUCCGGGAGAGGUGAGUGGAAUUCCUAGUGUAGAGGUGAAAUUCGUGGAUAUUAGGAAGAACACCAGUGGCGAAGGCGGCUCACUGGCCCGGUACUGACGCUCAGGUGCGAAAGCGUGGUGAGCAAACAGG
rnacentral:rRNA from 1 species